rnacentral:rRNA from 1 species
AUAUUACUAAGCGCAGGAGAAGAAACUAACCAGGAUCCCCUCAGUAAUGGCGAAUGAAGCGGGGAUGGCUCAACUCCUAAAUCUCCCUAGUUUUUACUUGGGCGAAUUGUAGGGUUUGGACUGCUUUCUUUAUCUCGAUACGGCGGAAGUUACCUGGAACGGUGCGUCAUAGAGGGUGAGAACCCCGUUCCGCUGUUUUUCGGGGUAGUAUGUUGGCAAGUCCCAGAGUCGGGCUAUUCGGUAGUGUAGCCCAAAGUGGGUGGUAAACCCCAUCCAAAGCUGAACAUGACCUAGAGACCGAUAGCGCACAAGUA